rnacentral:rRNA from 1 species
GAUGAACGCUGGCGGCGUGCCUAAUACAUGCAAGUCGAGCGAACAGACGAGGAGCUUGCUCCUCUGACGUUAGCGGCGGACGGGUGAGUAACACGUGGAUAACCUACCUAUAAGACUGGGAUAACUUCGGGAAACCGGAGCUAAUACCGGAUAAUAUAUUGAACCGCAUGGUUCAAUAGUGAAAGACGGUUUUGCUGUCACUUAUAGAUGGAUCCGCGCCGCAUUAGCUAGUUGGUAAGGUAACGGCUUACCAAGGCAACGAUGCGUAGCCGACCUGAGAGGGGGAUCGGCCACACUGGAGCUGAGACACGGUCCAGACUCCUACGGGAGGCAGCAGUAGGGAAUCUUCCGCAAUGGGCGGAAGCCUGACGGAGCAACGCCGCGUGAGUGAUGAAGGUCUUCGGAUCGUAAAACUCUGUUAUUAGGGAAGAACAAAUGUGUAAGUAACUAUGCACGUCUUGACGGUACCUAAUCAGAAAGCCACGGCUAACUACGUG